CCUACGGGUGACAGCAGUGAGGAAUAUUGGUCAAUGGUCGGGAGACUGAACCAGCCAAGCCGCGUGAGGGAUGAAGGUACAGAGUAUCGUAAACCUCUUUUGUCAGGGAACAAAGGCGGGGACGUGUCCCCGGCUGAGUGUACCUGAAGAACAAGCAUCGGCUAACUCCGUGCCAGCAGCCGCGGUAAUACGGGGGAUGCGAGCUUUAUCCGGAUUUAUUGGGUUUAAAGGGUGCGCAGGCGGUCUGUUAAGUCAGCGGUCAAAGCCCGGGGCUCAACCCCGGCCCGCCGUUGAAACUGGCAGUCUCGAGUUGGAGAGAAGUAUGCGGAAUGCGCGGUGUAGCGGUGAAAUGCAUAGAUAUCGCGCAGAACUCCGAGUGCGAAGGCAGCAUGCCGGCUCCACACUGACGCUGAGGCACGAAAGCGUGGGUAUCGAACAGGAUUAGAUACCCUUGUAGUC
rnacentral:rRNA from 1 species